ACGAACGCUGGCGGCGUGCUUAACACAUGCAAGUCGAACGGUGAAGGGACCGGUUUUUGCUGGUUCUGGAUGAGUGGCGAACGGGUGAGUAACACGUGAGUAACCUGCCCCCUUCUUCUGGAUAACCGCAUGAAAGUGUGGCUAAUACGGGAUAUUCUGCGCCUGCUGCAUGGUGGGUGUGGGAAAGAUAUUGUUUCGGUGGGGGAUGGGCUCGCGGCCUAUCCGCUUGUUGGUGGGGUGAUGGCCUACCAAGGCGGUGACGGGUAGCCGGCCUGAGAGGGUGGACGGUCACACUGGGACUGAGACACGGCCCAGACUCCUACGGGAGGCAGCAGUGGGGAAUAUUGCACAUUGGGCGCAAGCCUGAUGCAGCGACGCCGCGUGAGGGAUGGAGGCCUUCGGGUUGUAAACCUCUUUCGCCAGUGAAGCAGGCCUGUCCCUUUUGUGGGUGGGUUGACGGUAGCUGGAGAAGAAGCGCCGGCUAACUACGUG
rnacentral:rRNA from 1 species